rnacentral:rRNA from 1 species
GAUGAACGCUGGCGGCGUGCCUAAUACAUGCAAGUCGAGCGAACGGACGAGAAGCUUGCUUCUCUGAUGUUAGCGGCGGACGGGUGAGUAACACGUGGAUAACCUACCUAUAAGACUGGGAUAACUUCGGGAAACCGGAGCUAAUACCGGAUAAUAUUUUGAACCGCAUGGUUCAAAAGUGAAAGACGGUCUUGCUGUCACUUAUAGAUGGAUCCGCGCUGCAUUAGCUAGUUGGUAAGGUAACGGCUUACCAAGGCAACGAUGCAUAGCCGACCUGAGAGGGUGAUCGGCCACACUGGAACUGAGACACGGUCCAGACUCCUACGGGAGGCAGCAGUAGGGAAGCUUCCGCAAUGGGCGAAAGCCUGACGGAGCAACGCCGCGUGAGUGAUGAAGGUCUUCGGAUCGUAAAACUCUGUUAUUAGGGAAGAACAUAUGUGUAAGUAACUGUGCACAUCUUGACGGUACCUAAUCAGAAAGCCACGGCUAACUACGUGC